GGGCGAUUAGCUCAGUUGGCCAGAGCACCUCGUUUACACCGAGGGUGUCGGGGGUUCGAGUCCCUCAUCGCCCA
rnacentral:tRNA from 1 species